CUUCUUUUGUCUUCUAGCCUGGUGAGAACACACAUCAUAUACAGCCUGUCUUUACAAACUGCUGGCUCUUUUCAUGAAUAUUCAGUGGUUUUGCCCACACUUUGUCUCAGUCUCUCCCCUCCCCCUCCCCCCACUACCAUCUUAGAUGCAGUGACUUUGAGCUACCACUUAAAAAAAAAAAAGUAAAGUCCAUCAAGGCGCCUUCCAGUGAAGCCGGAUGUCGUAGGGGGGUGGUGGUGGAAACUAGGAGUCCUACUGUGUACCAGACUCAAACUAAAAGGUUGUAAUGACCUUAUCUCGGCAAAAGAUUUUUAUCUUCACGGUUUAUUUAAUCACUGGUCCCCUCGAAUUAGGAGCUAAGCCUCUGAUGGGCGACUGUCGAUCCUUAUCAAAACUACUAAGACAUAUUUCAACCAUGGAGGAAAAUGGUGUGGCAUCUGGAGAUGGGGGGCCCUCAGGGUCUUGCAUGGCAAGAAACUGCAGACUGGAAACACUGCUCCUCGUAUCUUAAGUAAAGGCUUUGCGAUGAUUGAUUAUUUUUCCUCUGAUAAAUACCUGGUUUUCAAAAGCAGUCUAAUUAGUAGGGAUCUCCAUUUUCCAAGUAUUCGAAAUGCAUUUGGCUGUCCUGUCAUUAAACCCAGACCCGAGAGACCAGCCUAGAUGUCUGAGCCCUUCCCACGUUCGAGGCAGAGACACUCCUGCUCACCGAAUAUCCUCGAGUAACCCUGUAUUUCCCGCCCCGCUGCCAUUUGCCAGGGCCAGCCGACUGGUUCUGAGCAAUGGGCAGGGAGCACAAGGGACUUGUACAUGAUCCUGCAGAAACCCUAAAGGUCACGCAUGAAAGCCAUCACAAGAUGGAACUGAGUCACCACAAAGAGCACAGCUGCCCUUGACGGUCACCUGAUUCAUCGUGGCCUUUGUAUGAGCGAAAAACAAACUUCUGUGGUGUUAGCCUUCUGAAAUGAAACACUGGGAUUUUUUGUGACUGCAGAAAAGCCCAACUUAACCUAUCAAUACAACAGGACGCUGAAGAGGGCUCCUAUAAUCACCCCAUUUUGGAAGACCCCACUGCAAGCCUCUUAUCUUGAUGUGUUUGUAGUAGAUGGAGAGAAGAUGCUCUCUCCUCGGACCCCAAGGACUCCCCAGUUACGAAAUGCUCCAUCGGCAUUCACACGUGCAGUAAAUAAUCAUUGAGUGCCAACCAUGUGCCAGGGCCCUUAUUGGCACUGGGGAUUGCAUGGUUAGCAAAACGGACUCCAUCUCGUCUUUGCCUACAGCUUUCAGUCCGUCGGAGGAGACUGCUGCUCGACAAAUAAGCAUGCCGAUGAGUGCAGAAUAACUAGCAGAGCAUCUCACAGCUCAGCCACUGGGUUCCAAGAGGCAGUGUCAUGUUUGCAAAUGCAGAAGAACGGCAGAUCUCCUAAGGUCUGGAUUCCAUUGGUCAGAACAGAUCACAAGUCCAGCCCAGGUUCAAGAGGAAGUGACUCCACCUCCUGGUGGCAGGACUAGCAAAGGAUUUGCAGCCACCUUUAAUCCACCAGAAGGGAAAAAACAAAAGGAACCGGAGGAAGCUUUUGGAGGCAAUGGGUAAGUUUAUGGCCCUUACAGUGUUGAUUGUUUCACGGGUAUACACUUAUCUCCAAACACAUCAAGUUGCAUACAUUAAACAGCUACAGCUUUUUGUAUAUAUCUA